rnacentral:rRNA from 1 species
UGGGGAAUUUUGGACAAUGUGGGAAACCCUGAUCCAGCCAUCCCGCGUGUGCGAUGAAGGCCUUCGGGUUGUAAAGCACUUUUGGCAGGAAAGAAACGUCAUGGGUUAAUACCCCGUGAAACUGACGGUACCUGCAGAAUAAGCACCGGCUAACUACGUGCCAGCAGCCGCGGUAAUACGUAGGGUGCAAGCGUUAAUCGGAAUUACUGGGAGUAAAGCGUGCGCAGGCGGUUCGGAAAGAAAGAUGUGAAAUCCCAGAGCACAACUUUGGAACUGCAUUUUUAAUUACCGGGCUAGAGUGUGUCAGAGGGAGGUGGAAUUCCGCGUGUAGCAGUGAAAUGCGUAGAUAUGCGGAGGAACACCGAUGGCGAAGGCAGCCUCCUGGGAUAAAACUGACGCUCAUGCAAGAAAGCGUGGGGAGAAAACAGG